rnacentral:rRNA from 1 species
AUUGAACGCUGGCGGCAGGCUUAACACAUGCAAGUCGAGCGGUGGAAGGUAGCUUGCUACCGGACCUAGCGGCGGACGGGUGAGUAAUGCUUAGGAGUCUGCCUAUUAGUGGGGGACAACAUCUCGAAAGGGAUGCUAAUACCGCAUACGUCCUACGGGAGAAAGCAGGGGAUCUUCGGACCUUGCGCUAAUAGAUGAGCCUAGGUGGGAGUAGCUAGUUGGUGGGGUAAAGGCCUACCAAGGCGACGAUCUGUAGCGGGUCUGAGAGGAUGAUCCGCCACACUGGGACUGAGACGCGGCCCAGACUCCUACGGGAGGCAGCAGUGGGGAAGAUUGGACAAUGGGGGGAACCCUGAUCCAGCCAUGCCGCGUGUGUGAAGAAGGCCUUAUGGUUGUAAAGCACUUUAAGCGAGGAGGAGGCUACUCUAGUUAAUACCUAGGGAUAGUGGACGUUACUCGCAGAAUAAGCACCGGCUAACUCUGUGCCAGCAGCCGCCGUAAUAC